CAUUACACANAUAUGAAGCCGGACUGGGAUAGGGCCUCGCUGCCUUGCCCGUCUGGCGCCAUAUUCACCCAUGUCUUUUUGCGUACUACUUGUUUCCUUGGCGGGUCCGCCCGCCAAUUGGACCUUAUUCAAACCUUUUUUUCAGUUGCAAUCAGCGUCAGCAAAACAAAUGUAAUCAAUUACAACUUUCAACAACGGAUCUCUUGGUUCUGGCAUCGAUGAAGAACGCAGCGAAAUGCGAUAAGUAGUGUGAAUUGCAGAAUUCAGUGAAUCAUCGAAUCUUUGAACGCACAUUGCGCCCUUUGGUAUUCCAAAGGGCAUGCCUGUUCGAGCGUCAUUUGUACCCUCAAGCUUUGCUUGGUGUUGGGCGUCUUGUCUCUCUCCCGAGACUCGCCUUAAAAUCAUUGGCAGCCGGCCUACUGGUUUCGGAGCGCAGCACAUUAUUUGCGCUCUUGUCCAGCCGCGGUCGCGCGUCCAUGAAGCUUCUUUCAACCUUUUGACCUCGGAUCAGGUAGGGAUACCCG
rnacentral:rRNA from 1 species